rnacentral:rRNA from 1 species
AUGAAGGCCCUGUUUUGGAACAUUAGAGGGUUCUGCGCUAGGGGGCGCAGAGACCAACUGAAGGACUUAAUGCGCGCUGAAAGAAUUGAUUUUAUCGGGCUUGUUGAGACUCUUAAACCCUCCUUUUCUCCUUCUGAACUAUUGGCGAUUGCUGGGAUUGAUAGAUUUAGGUGGAAUUUCGUGGCCUCUGUUGGUCAGUCCGGCGGCUUUCUUCUGGGCACCAAUAAUGUCACCUUUGAUUUUGUGGCUUUCGACCAUGGUAUAUACUGGGCUAGUAUGGUAGUUUCCCUACGUUCCAAUAAUACCCUCCUUGAACUUAUGGUAGUAUAUAGUCCAGUUGAUCAUUCCUUGUCACAAAUUUUCUUGGAUGAGAUUUUUACUAAAAUUGAUGCCCGCCAACUGCCACUCCUGAUUGGGAGUGAUUUUAAUCUGCUUCGGUAUCCUUCUAAUAAGAGUUCUGUCAAUUUCUCCUGGGUGCUGGCCGAGGCUUUUAAUGCUUUCAUCAGGGACACGACUAUCCGUGAGAUCCCGAGGGUUGGGGCCCGCUACACUUGGACCAACCGACAGACUUGUCCUAUUCGCUCGGUUCUUGAUAGAGUUUUUAUCUGCCCUGCUUGGGAUGGCCUUUUUCCUCGCUGCUCACUUCGGGCCCUCCCCAUCGUCGGGUCCGAUCACGCUCCUCUCAUCCUUGACGAUGGUCUCUGCCCCAAUGGCUGCCAAAGAUUUCAAUUUGACGCGUCCUGGCUUUUAGUGGAAGGGUUCCCUGAUAUGCUGGCUCAGAAGAUCUUGGGCUUUCUUACCUCCCCCCAUCGUUCAUUUGGCCCUAUGGAUGACUGGCAUUAUGUUUCUUACUCCCUACGCAAGUUCCUUAGAGGAUGGGCCAAGAACCACUUUGCUGAGUCGAGGCGCGACAAAUCUAGGUUGAGUGCUCAAAUUAGUGCCCUCGACUCCCGUGCGGACAACGGUGGGCUCUCGGCUACUGAGUGGCAAGUUCGCUAUGGCCUUGAGAAGGAGCUUCUGGCUAUUCAUCGCCAAGAGGAAGUGUAUUGGAAGCAAAGGGGUAUGAUUAAUUGGACUCUUAAGGGUGAUUCUCCCACGGCUUACUUUUUCGCCAUUGCGAAUGGCAGACGGCGUAGAUGUUUGAUUAACAGCCUCAUUAUUGAUGGUGUUAGGGUCUCUGAACCGCCGGUCAUUCUCCGUCAUGUAGUUCGGUUCUUCUCUAACCUGCUUUCGGCUAAACCAGACCUCGGAUUCGCGCUAGCCCCGGGCUUCUGGCUCCCAUUGAUAGGAUUUCUCACGCUGAUAAUGAGCUUCUGUUGA